rnacentral:rRNA from 1 species
UACGUACGGGGCAAGCGUUAUCCGGAUUUACUGGGUGUAAAGGGAGCGUAGACGGCAUGGUAAGUCUGAUGUGAAAACCCGGAGCUCAACUCCGGGCCUGCAUUGGAAACUAUCAGGCUAGAGUGCGGGAGAGGUAAGUGGAAUUCCUAGUGUAGCGGUGAAAUGCGUAGAUAUUAGGAGGAACACCAGUGGCGAAGGCGGCUUACUGGACCGUAACUGACGUUGAGGCUCGAAAGCGUGGGGAGCAAACAGG